rnacentral:rRNA from 1 species
UCCGUAGGUGAACCUGCGGAAGGAUCAUUACCGAGUUGAUUCGGGCUCCGGCCCGAUCCUCCCACCCUUUGUGUACCUACCUCUGUUGCUUUGGCGGGCCGCGGUCCUCCGCGGCCGCCCCCCUCCCCGGGGGGGUGGCCAGCGCCCGCCAGAGGACCAUCAAACUCCAGUCAGUAAACGAUGCAGUCUGAAAAACAUUUAAUAAACUAAAACUUUCAACAACGGAUCUCUUGGUUCUGGCAUCGAUGAAGAACGCAGCGAAAUGCGAUAAGUAAUGUGAAUUGCAGAAUUCAGUGAAUCAUCGAAUCUUUGAACGCACAUUGCGCCCUUUGUAUUCCGAAGGGCAUGCCUGUUCGAGCGUCAUUACAACCCUCAAGCUCUGCUUGGUAUUGGGCACCGUCCUUUGCGGGCGCGCCUCAAAGACCUCGGCGGUGGCGUCUUGCCUCAAGCGUAGUAGAACAUACAUCUCGCUUCGGAGCGCAGGGCGUCGCCCGCCGGACGAACCUUCUGAACUUUUCUCAAGGUUGACCUCGGAUCAGGUAGGGAUACCCGCUGAACUUAAGCAUAUCAAUAAGCGGAGGA